rnacentral:rRNA from 1 species
GUAGGGAAUCUUCGGCAAUGGGGGCAACCCUGACCGAGCAACGCCGCGUGAGUGAAGAAGGUUUUCGGAUCGUAAAACUCUGUUGUAAGUCAAGAACGAGUGUGAGAGUGGAAAGUUCACACUGUGACGGUAGCUUACCAGAAAGGGACGGCUAACUACGUGCCAGCAGCCGCGGUAAUACGUAGGUCCCGAGCGUUGUCCGGAUUUAUUGGGCGUAAAGCGAGCGCAGGCGGUUUGAUAAGUCUGAAGUUAAAGGCUGUGGCUCAACCAUAGUUCGCUUUGGAAACUGUCAAACUUGAGUGCAGAAGGGGAGAGUGGAAUUCCAUGUGUAGCGGUGAAAUGCGUAGAUAUAUGGAGGAACACCGGUGGCGAAAGCGGCUCUCUGGUCUGUAACUGACGCUGAGGCUCGAAAGCGUGGGGAGCGAACAGGAUUAGAUACCCUGGUAGUCCACGCCGUAAACGAUGAGUGCUAGGUGUUGGAUCCUUUCCGGGAUUCAGUGCCGCAGCUAACGCAUUAAGCACUCCGCCUGGGGAGUACGACCGCAAGGUUG